GGGGAAUUUUCCGCAAUGGGCGAAAGCCUGACGGAGCAAUACCGCGUGAGGGAGGAAGGCUCUUGGGUUGUAAACCUCUUUUCUCAGGGUAANAAGAAAUGACGGUACCUGAGGAAUAAGCAUCGGCUAACUCCGUGCCAGCAGCCGCGGUAAUACGGAGGAUGCAAGCGUUAUCCGGAAUGAUUGGGCGUAAAGGGUCCGCAGGUGGCAUUGAAAGUCUGCUGUUAAAGAGUCUAGCUCAACUAGAUAAGAGCAGUGGAAACUACAAAGCUAGAGUUUGGUCGGGGCAGAAGGAAUUCCUGGUGUAGCGGUGAAAUGCGUAGAUAUCAGGAAGAACACCAGUGGCGAAGGCGUUCUGCUAGGCCGAGACUGACACUGAGGGACGAAAGCUANGGGAGCGAAUGGGAUUAGAUACCCCAGUAGUC
rnacentral:rRNA from 1 species